UCUACAAAAGAAAAAUUAGGCGUUACAGGUAGUAGCAGCGGCUAAGGUGGAGGUGGAAACAGUGGUGGUGGUGGUGGAGACGGCGGUUUCUGGUCGAAAGUAUUCCGUGGUUGCUAAGCACAACGAAUCACAAUUUCAAGAAUGGGACUCAGACGGGUUGGGUUACCUGCCAACAUUGUGGUAUUUUUGCACAACAAGCUCGGUGGCUUCAAGAAAUACAAAGUCUCUGAAAUUUUAUUCUUCCAUUGAUGCACCACCGUCUGCACAUUAAGGCAUAAAACCAGGCUGACUGUCAUGCCCGGCCUUUAGAGGUUACGCCUGCGCCACGCAGGCAACACGUGACUUUAGGCCCGUGACAAGAGGCUAUGAAAUGGGCUACUCCUAAUAUCCUCGGGACUGACUUAGCACUUCCCAUCAGUGACUGCUUUUGCCAUAGCCUAGGUUGGGAGGAGUACCAUGAGGACACCUAUUCAAUAAUGAAGAAGCUUCUCCCGAAAUUCCAGG